UGGGAAUUUGGACAAUGGCGCAAGCCUGAUCCAGCCAUGCCGCGUGCGGGAAGAAGGCCUUCGGGUUGUAAACCGCUUUUGUCAGGGAAGAAAUCUUNUGAGUUAAUACCUCGGGAGGAUGACGGUACCUGAAGAAUAAGCACCGGCUAACUACGUGCCAGCAGCCGCGGUAAUACGUAGGGUGCAAGCGUUAAUCGGAAUUACUGGGCGUAAAGCGUGCGCAGGCGGUUUUGUAAGACAGAGGUGAAAUCCCCGGGCUCAACCUGGGAACUGCCUUUGUGACUGCAAGGCUUGAGUGCGGCAGAGGGGGGAUGGAAUUCCGCGUGUAGCAGUGAAAUGCGUAGAUAUGCGGAGGAAACACCGAUGGCGAAGGCAAUCCCCUGGGCCUGCACUGACGCUCAUGCACGAAAGCGUGGGGAGCAAACAGGAUUAGAUACCCUGGUAGUCCACGCCCUAAAACCGAUGUCAACNGGUUGUUGGGAAGGUUCCUUCUCAGUAACGUAGCUAACGCGUGAAAGUUGACCGCCUGGGGAGUACGGCCGCAA
rnacentral:rRNA from 1 species